UAUAUAUAUAUAUAUAUAUAUAUAUAUAGAGAGAGAGAGAGAGAGAGAGAGAGAGAGAGAGAGAGAGAGAGAGAGAGUCCGGCUGGGUACUAUCGAUAAUACCACGAAUUUGGCGCUAUCGAGUUUUCCACCAUUAAAUUUAAUAUAGUCCCUUUUGUACUCAUAAAUUUUUGGCCGUUAGAUCUACUUCUUUGAUCAUUUCUAUCCGUUAGGUCAUACUAUUCAACCAACCACCCACUCAAUCCUAGAGGACCAUUAUUAACCUAAUCGGAGACCACUAUCAUCCUAACCGCACAUCUAUUCAUCCAAUGGUUAAAAACUUAUGAGUACAAAGGGGGCUAUACUCAUAAAAGUAUAGUAGCCCUAGCCUAUAUAUAUAUAAUUAAGUUAUUAUACUAUUAAUAGUACCGAGCAUUUGGUACUAUCAGAUUUCAGCCUUUUGAUGAAGUGAUGUGCGGUUAGGAUGAUCUUAAAGUUGAGUACAUGGUUGAUUAAAUAAUAUAAUUUGAGGGAUGAAAAUAAUCAAAGGGGUACAUCGAAUAGCAGAAAACUCAAUAGCAUCAAGCGUUCAGUACUAUAGAUAGUAUAGUAGCCGCACUCUCCUAUAAAUGAGUAGGUGGUCAAUGUAAUCGUAAUGAUCAAAGUAUGAAAAAGUAAAUAGUAUCCUAACUGAAUUAUAUAUAUAUAUAUAUAUAGGGUCCGGCUAUUAUACUGUUAUGAGUACGAUCGCCCUCGUACUCAUAAGUUGUUUUCGAUGAUAGAGCUUCCGAAUCGACGAUCCACAUCGUUAAACGUUAUUUACAGUAUUUAAAACUUCUAGAAAUCAAAUUUUAUAAUUUUUCGACAUCAUUUACCUUAUCAAGAGGUCACAAAUUUAACAAUUUUUAACGGCCGGUAUGGGAUACUUGCUAGUUUAACGGUGUAAAAGAAUCGGAAUUUGUUGAAUUUUUUAUAGAAAAUUCUAUUCACUACAUAGAUAAAGUUCAAU
rnacentral:lncRNA from 1 species